CCUACGGGUGGCAGCAGUGGGGAAUAUUGGGCAAUGGGCGCAAGCCUGACCCAGCAACGCCGCGUGAAGGAAGAAGGCUUUCGGGUGGUAAACUUCUUUUAAGAGGGAAGAGCAGAAGACGGUACCUCUUGAAUAAGCCACGGCUAACUACGGGCCAGCAGCCGCGGUAAUACGUAGGUGGCAAGCGUUGUCCGGAUUUACGGGGUGUAAAGGGCGUGCAGCCGGGAAGACAAGUCAGAUGUGAAAUCCCGCGGCUCAACCGCGGAACUGCAUUUGAAACUGUUUUUCGUGAGUACCGGAGAGGUCAUCGGACUUCCUUGUGUCGCGGUGAACUCCUUAUCUCUAAGGAAGAACACCAGUGGC
rnacentral:rRNA from 1 species